rnacentral:rRNA from 1 species
GACGAACGCUGGCGGCGUGCUUAACACAUGCAAGUCGAACGGAAAGGCCCUGCUUUUGUGGGGUGCUCGAGUGGCGAACGGGUGAGUAACACGUGAGUAACCUGCCCUUUACUUUGGGAUAACUUCAUGAAACUGGGGCUCAUACCGGAUAGGAGCUCCUGCUGCAUGGUGGUGGUUGGAAAGUUUCGGCGGUUGGGGAUGGACUCGAGGCUUAUCAGCUUGUUGGUGGGGUAGUGGCUUACCAAGGCUUGGACGGGUAGCCGGCCUGAGAGGGUGACCGGGCACAUUGGGCUAGGGGUGCGGCCGGGAGUCAGACGGGAGGAAGGGGUGAGGAAUAUACCGAGCUGGGCGGAAGCAGGGUGCAGGAAGGCCGGAUGGGGGAUCACGGCCUGCAGGUUGUAACCGGGUUGCGCGUGUAAAGCACCGUAAGUGACGGUAAUGGGUAAAGAAGCACCGGCUAACUACGUG